GCUCUCCGCUGCGGACCCGUGGUGGGCAGCUGCCCCGCGUGGUGGGGCGAGUUGGUGAACUGGCAGGUGGAGAAAUCUUUGUCCAAGCAGCUGCAAGAGAAAGCACACAUAUGAAAAAAAAAGCCUUUGUUUUGGUUAAAAUAUGUCUAAACAUCUUGCAUGCAAACAGCUGUUUGCUACACCAUAGGUAUCGCUGAUUUAGAUGUGUAAAACCCACAACAGAAGGUCCAGAACCAUCUUUUAUCAUCUUUCUGAAGUGUGGUACGUUUCAUGUUGCUGUUUACUAGGACAAGUCCUUUGAGGUAGUAUUUUGAGAGGGUGAGGACAGGGGCUUUGUUAUGAGAAACCCCCACUGCUGGAAGGUGAAGUUUUAAUUUCUUUUUUACCAUGCCAAGCACAUCGGUGUCAGAGGUAAACUAGAAUGCUGGGACGAAGCGAAGUGGAGAAUUAAGUGUUUAAGCAGCACCUCUGCUUAUUUCAUGGUUAAGUUAUUUUGUAUUAGCCACGGAAAUUACUGCUGUGUCUGUUCGGUAAAGAUGCAUGCCGACUGCUCAAUUAGCAAAAAAACAGAAAGAAAUGACCUCAUGGCUUACUUCUAAAAGCUUUUAUUUAUUUUUUAUAUUCAGGAGACACCAUAAUACAGCUUCCAAUCAAUCAACCGCAUAGCUCUGGUAAUCAAUACCACAAAGAGACUUUAUGUACAUGGAAGUCUGUCUACUUUGCAGGGAUAAAAUGUUUCCCAAGUGGGACGAGUUUGUUUGCUUGAGCUCUGCCUCACACCGGUGCUUGCAGCUCCGCUGGCCUCUGCCAUAACCAGCUCCUGCUGGCCUCUGGGGGUUAAUUCUCUGGGGGAUUUGGCUUUUAGGCUUUCACAAGGGUUAGCUGAAUAAUGAAGCAAUGGAAAAACAAUCACUCCUUGCAGUUGUGCACAACCUGCUGGCGUUGUGUGAUUAGCAGUAGACAAAGAGGCGCAGUGUUUAUGCAGAGCUGUGCAGGGUGAGCCUGGAGCCGCAGGAAGCCGAGCGCAGCCGGCGUACCUGCUUCCCAGGGCUCCCAGCCGUCUUGCAUUUCGUAUCAUCCAUCGACAUACCGCUGUCGUGGAUAGCUGAGACUUACCAUGAAAACAAUCCUGGCACUCCUGGCUUCAUGCAUUUCGUCUUCAACACCUGGGACACAAACCUGGUGAUGUUUCCUGUAGCCCUUGUGCCACGCUGGGGAAUGCAGAGCCAGAGCCGCAGCGUUUGCUCUGCAGCAGCCUUACAGUGCUCAAGGUCUUCGCAAACCUCUGCAACUGCAGCAAGCUGCUUGUCACAGAACUUGAGUUUGCUUUUUUUUUUUGGACAAAAACCCUCGCGUGCACCACGUGCGGUAUUUUUCCUUCACUGAAAUGCUGUCUUCUGCGUAGGCAGGAGCAGCAACUGACCCAGGAAACAACUCGCGAUGCGGUGUCUGGUCUGGCAUCUGUAUUUGUGCAAAACACUGUAAUUUACAGGAACAUUCAUCAGCAGAGCUCAAUUCAGAGUUCUCCAACUGACUUGGUGGAAAUAAAGCUGCAAUAAAUUACGUGCUGGAGCAUUAAAAGGAGCGUGUCAGAAUAGCUGCUCGAAAUACUAUUUUAUCAUGGAUUUUUGCCAGCUGCUUAAAGUCAGCAGAAAUGUUUCUGCUUAUUCCAGGGGGGCUCUUACCAGACCACGAUGUAUUAUAAAAGAAGGUGGGACUUGUGCUUUGGGGGUAAUUUGCUGU